GAUGAACGCUCGCGGCAGGCUUAACACAUGCAAGUCGAGGGGUAUUUCUCUUCGGAUAGCGAGACCGGCGCACGGGUGCGUAACGCGUAUGCAAUCUACCUUUUACAGAGGGAUAGCCCAGAGAAAUUUGGAUUAAUACCUCAUAGUAUAUAGACUCGGCAUCGAGAUUAUAUUAAAGUCACAACGGUAAAAGAUGAGCAUGCGUCCCAUUAGCUAGUUGGUAAGGUAACGGCUUACCAAGGCUACGAUGGGUAGGGGUCCUGAGAGGGAGAUCCCCCACACUGGUACUGAGACACGGACCAGACUCCUACGGGAGGCAGCAGUGAGGAAUAUUGGACAAUGGGCGCAAGCCUGAUCCAGCCAUGCCGCGUGCAGGAUGACGGUCCUAUGGAUUGUAAACUGCUUUUAUACGAGAAGAAACACUGCUACGUGUAGCAGCUUGACGGUAUCGGAAGAAUAAGGAUCGGCUAACUCCGUG
rnacentral:rRNA from 1 species